GAUGACUAUGUUCCGUGGCCGUUCAAGGUCAGACUCUCCAUCGAACUUGCAACAAGCAAUGAGCGGACCACUAACGACUAUUACUCCAACAUUUGCUUCCAAUAAGUCUCAAGGAAAUGUUUUGCAAAGGGGUAAGUCCGAGCUCUUUGUACCCAAGUUUAAAGAUUGCUUAUUUCGAUUUCUAGCUCAGACAAGAAGAGUUCAGGAUACUGCAUAAAGCAUUUUAAAGGUUGAGAGAAAGUCGUCUGAAGAUCCUGCAAUCAAGCUUGCUUCUUUGGCACUACUUGCAAUGCAGAUGAGUAAAUGUGAAAGAAGGAAUAAAUUUUCUCGUCUGAAUUUUUCAGUAAACAAAGACAUUGAUUGUUUGAAUAUCUCUUUGACUGUUUCACAUUGAUAUACAUUUGUGGUUUCUUUGAUCUGCGUGUGGUUGCUACAUUUAUUUGGAUUUCUUUAUCUUACUUUAUUACCCUGCAAUUUUAUACUUAUAUUGAUUAACUUGUAUAUACAAUGCAAAAAAAAAAAUAAAGUUUCUAUUUUUCAAAUAAA